AUAGUAGUGUCAGAGUUUGAUCCUGGCUCAGGAUGAACGCUGGCGGCGUGCUUAACACAUGCAAGUCGAACGGAAGUGAAUGGAAUGGAGUCUUCGGACAAUAGGAAUUUCACUUUAGUGGCGGACGGGCGAGUAACGCGUGAGCAACCUGCCUUUUACCGUGGAAUAACAAGAGGAAACUCUUGCUAAUACCGCAUAAUGUAUAUUUACGGCAUCGUAGAUAUACCAAAGAAGCAAUUCGGUGAAAGAUGGGCUCGCGUCUGAUUAGAUAGUUGGAGAGGUAACGGCUCACCAAGUCAACGAUCAGUAGCCGGACUGAGAGGUCGAUCGGCCGCAUUGGGACUGAGACACGGCCCAG
rnacentral:rRNA from 1 species